UUCUACGGCCAUACCACCCUGAAUGUGCCCGAUCUUGUCUGAUCUCGGAAGCUGAGCAGAAUCAAGCCUGGUUAGUACUUGGAUGGGAGAAAACAAUUGUUUUGUUAU
rnacentral:rRNA from 1 species